rnacentral:rRNA from 1 species
GACGAACGCUGGCGGCGUGCUUAACACAUGCAAGUCGAACGGGCCUUGUCCCCUUUUUUUUUGGGGGUGGGGUUAGUGGCGAACGGGUGGGUAACACGUGAGUAACCUGCCCCUCACUUCUGGAUAACCGCUUGAAAGGGUGGCUAAUACGGGGUGUUCUGGCCUGCCCGCAUGGGUGGGUUUGGAAAGAUUCGACCGGUUUUGGUCGUUUUGGUGGGGGAUGGGCUCGCGGCCUGUCAGCUCGUUGGCGGGGUGAUGGCCUGCCAAGGCUUUGCCGGGUAGCCGGCCUGAGGGGGUGGGCGGUCACGCUGGGACUGAGACACGGCCCAGACUCCUACGGGGGGCAGCAGUGGGGAAUAUUGCACAAUGGGCGCAAGCCUGAUGCAGCGACGCCGCGUGAGGGAUGGAGGCCGUCGGGUUGUGAACCUCUUUCGCCAGUGAAGAAGGUCCUGCUCUUUGUGGUGGGGUUGACGGUAGCUGGGUUAAUGAAGCGCCGGCUAACUACGUG